AUAUGAACCGUUAUAACCGGCGAUACCCGAAUGGGGAAACCCAGUGUGUUUCGACACACUAUCAUUAACUGAAUCCAUAGGUUAAUGAGGCGAACCGGGGGAACUGAAACAUCUAAGUACCCCGAGGAAAAGAAAUCAACCGAGAUUCCCCCAGUAGCGGCGAGCGAACGGGGAGGAGCCCAGAGCCUGAAUCAGCAUGUGUGUUAGUGGAAGCGUCUGGAAAGGCGCGCGAUACAGGGUGACAGCCCCGUACACAAAAGCGCAUGUGCUGUGAGCUCGAUGAGUAGGGCGGGACACGUGGUAUCCUGUCUGAAUAUGGGGGGACCAUCCUCCAAGGCUAAAUACUCCUGACUGACCGAUAGUGAACCAGUACCGUGAGGGAAAGGCGAAAAGAACCCCGGCGAGGGGAGUGAAAAAGAACCUGAAACCGUGUACGUACAAGCAGUGGGAGCCCCACCACUAAGCCAGUGGUGAACUCCACAUACGCAUCCUUUGCUGAGGAUACGGUUAACGGAGCGAAAGCGACGUUCAACCUCAAAAGAAGCAGAGGGGGCUUAGUGGUGGGGUGACUGCGUACC
rnacentral:rRNA from 1 species